rnacentral:rRNA from 1 species
AGCAGCCGCCGCGGUAAUACAGAGGGUGCGAGCGUUAAUCGGAUUUACUGGGCGUAAAGCGUGCGCAGGCGGUUAUAUAAGACAGAGGUGAAAUCCCCGGGCUCAACCUGGGAACUGCCUUUGUGACUGCAAGGCUAGAGUACGGCAGAGGGGGAUGGAAUUCCGCGUGUAGCAGUGAAAUGCGUAGAUAUGCGGAGGAACACCGAUGGCGAAGGCAGCCAUCUGGCCUAAUACUGACGCUGAGGUACGAAAGCAUGGGGAGCAAACAGGAUUAGAUACCCGGGUAGUCCCUGUCUCUUAUAC